rnacentral:rRNA from 1 species
CACGUAGGCGGUAGGACAAGUUAGAUGUGAAAUCCCAGGGCUUAACCUUGGAACUGCAUCUAAAACUGUUUUACUAGAGUUCACUAGAGGGAAGCGGAAUUUCCGGUGUAGCGGUGAAAUGCGUAGAUAUCGGAAGGAACAUCAGUGGCGAAGGCGGCUUUCUGGAGUUGAACUGACGCUAAGGUGCGAGAGCGUGGGGAGCGAACA